GAUGAACGCUGGCGGCGUGCCUAAUACAUGCAAGUCGAGCGAACGGACGAGAAGCUUGCUUCUCUGAUGUUAGCGGCGGACGGGUGAGUAACACGUGGAUAACCUACCUAUAAGACGGGGAUAACUUCGGGAAACCGGAGCUAAUACCGGAUAAUAUUUUGAACCGCAUGGUUCAAAAGUGAAAGACGGUCUUGCUGUCACUUAUAGAUGGAUCCGCGCUGCAUUAGCUAGUUGGUAAGGUAACGGCCUACCAAGGCAACGAUACAUAGCCGACCUGAGAGGGUGAUCAGCCACACUGGAACUGAGACACGGUCCAGACUCCUACGGGAGGCAGCAGUAGGGAAUCUUCCGCAAUGGGCGAAAGCCUGACGGAGCCACGCCGCGUGAGUGAUGAAGGUCUUCGGAUCGUAAAACUCUGUUAUUAGGGAAGAACAUAUGUGUAAGUAACUGUGCCCAUCUUGACGGUACCUAAUCAGAAAGCCACGGCUAACUACGUG
rnacentral:rRNA from 1 species